AUUAACGUUAAUUAAUAGAUACCCAAAACGGACAUGAAACUAGUUAUUGAUAAAUAAGUAGAUUAAUACUAAAUAUCUAUUAUAAAUGAAGGAAAGAAAUAGUAUAAAACGGCUUAGUUUUCAGCGUGUAGCAUCACACUCGAGCCACAGUUCCAGCGUGCCUACCGCCACCGCCAACAUGUCUAAACUCACUCUGGCCCUGCUCGUGCUGUGCGCCUGCGUCGCUGUGUCUAUGGCGGCACCACAAGUAGAUUUAGAGCCGGUCGUGAGCAAGCUGACUCCCCUGGAAAUUGGUAAACUCAUGUUGACUCUUCUCUCGGCGGGAAAGAGCUCUGGUGGCACGUCGGCAGGGGGCGCCGAGGGGGAACCUGCUGCUGCAUCCUCUUAGACACCCACCACCUAUCCACUAGACAAUAAGUGAGGGUCACUACAUAAAUUAGAAAAAUACACGAACGAGUUAUCAUGCAAUCGGCAUAAUGCAACGAGAUAGAGUCGUGGAUAUCGCAGAGCUUAGGAAAAACGAAAGCGCUUGUAGUCAUUCAUUCGAUUUCUGUAGUAAGUCCCCUGACACGUGUCCUGUAAAAUGUGUGUGAAAAUCAAUAAAGUACUUACUUAAUUUAAAU